GGUGGCUCAGUGUUAGAGUGCUUGCCUUGCUUGCAUGAGGCCCUGGGUUUGAUUCUCAGCACCA
rnacentral:tRNA from 1 species